rnacentral:rRNA from 1 species
ACGGGAGGCAGCAGUGAGGAAUAUUGGUCAAUGGGCGGAAGCCUGAACCAGCCAAGUCGCGUGAAGGAAGACGGUAUUAUGUAUUGUAAACUUCUUUAGCAGUAGAGCAAUAACCCCCUUGCGAGGGGGGAUGAGAGUAUACUGAGAAUAAGCAUCGGCUAACUCCGUGCCAGCAGCCGCGGUAAUACGGAGGAUGCGAGCGUUAUCCGGAUUUAUUGGGUUUAAAGGGUGCGUAGGCGGCCCCUUAAGUCGGCGGUGAAAUUUCCGGGCUCAACCCGGUCACUGCCGUCGAAACUGGGGGGCUUGAGUGCGUUUGGGGUGGCUGGAAUGUGCGGUGUAGCGGUGAAAUGCAUAGAUAUCGCACAGAACGCCGAUCGCGGAGGCAGGUCACCAAGCCGCAACUGACGCUGAGGCACGAAAGCGCGGGGAUCGAACAGGAUUAGAUACCCUGGUA